rnacentral:rRNA from 1 species
GAUUAUGGCUCAGGACGAACGCUGGCGGCGUGCUUAACACAUGCAAGUCGAGCGAUGAAGCACCUUCGGGUGUGAGUUAGCGGCGAACGGGUGAGGAACACGUGAAGAAUCUGCCUUCAACUCUGGGAUAACUCCGGGAAACCGGGGCUAAUACCGGAUAUGAGCCUUGAUCGCAUGAUCGGGGCUGGAAAGUUUUUCGGUUGAAGAUGACUUCGCGGCCUAUCAGCUUGUUGGUGAGGUAAUGGCUCACCAAGGCGACGACGGGUAGCCGGCCUGAGAGGGCGACCGGCCACACUGGGACUGAGACACGGCCCAGACUCCUACGGGAGGCAGCAGUGGGGAAUAUUGGGCAAUGGAGGAAACUCUGACCCAGCGACGCCGCGUGAGGGAUGAAGGCCUUCGGGUUGUAAACCUCUUUCAGUAGGGAAGAAGCGAAAGUGACGGUACCUACAGAAGAAGCACCGGCUAACUAUGUGCCAGCAGCCGCGGUAAUACAUAGGGUGCAAGCGUUGUCCGGAAUUAUUGGGCGUAAAGAGCUCGUAGGUGGUUCGAUACGUCGGAUGUGAAAAUCAGGGGCUCAACCCCUGACCUGCAUCCGAUACGGUCGAGCUAGAGUUUGGUAGGGGAGACUGGAAUUCCUGGUGUAGCGGUGGAAUGCGCAGAUAUCAGGAGGAACACCGAUGGCGAAGGCAGGUCUCUGGGCCAAUACUGACACUGAGGAGCGAAAGCGUGGGGAGCGAACAGGAUUAGAUACCCUGGUAGUCCACGCCGUAAACGGUGGGCGCUAGUUGUGCGAACCUUCCACGGUUUGUGCGACGCAGCUAACGCAUUAAGCGCCCCGCCUGGGGAGUACGAUCGCAAGAUUAAAACUCAAAGGAAUU